AGAGAGUGAUAUGGUGCUGAGCUCAUUUCUAAAGUACAGGUGCCAGAAAUAAUCAAAUUCUGUUCCAAAGAAGAACAUCUUUGGUCCCCCAAAGAACCUUAUAUUAAAUUAUUAAAAUCAUCAACUAAUAACAACAGUCAUGCACCAUUUUUUUUUUUUCCUCAUCUUUUUUGGCCGACUGCUUCAUAUGGGGUCAUACAGUAUAUGAUUAGCAUUUGAGAUUCAGUUUGAUGAAUCAUUUCCCCUACAAAAAACCUUUUGUGCAAUGGAAAGGAUCCAUGGAUGUUAAUGGUUUUACACAAACACUUAACAUCCAUGGAAACUUUCCAUUGCACAAAAGGAUUUUUGUUAAUAUAUAAUAAUACCAAAAAAAAAAAUAAAAAUAUAUAUAUAUAUAAAAUACCAAAUUUUGGUACAGUAGAGGAAAAAAUGCAAAACAUAAGAUUACUUGUCUUUUUUUAUUAUUAUUAAUGCAGUUCAUUAUUAAAAUUUGUGAACAAUAUUUUUCAAUUUUUAAUAAAAUUGAAUAAAUCAAAUAAAUGCAAUACACUUUCAUUUCACUAAAUGGCUCUUGAGGGAACUCAGAUUUGAGUCUAUGUCCCGCACGUAAAAAGGAUUGAAUUCACUACACCGUCUGAGUUCAGUAGGCCGACGCCUGAUGGGAAGAAACUGUUCCUGCUUCUGCUAGUGUGAUGGCUGUAGCAUUUUCCAGAUGGUAAAGGAGUAAACAGACCAUGAGGGAAAAGAAAUCCCACACGUGCACAUCUCUAUGUAAAACACAUCACUUGUGUUGACUGUGUUUUGAGCGAGGACUUACUACGUAUCUUUCAGCACAUCAGAUCAUGAAGUGGCGAGAGGCUUUGAUGCGAGGAACACGUGACCCGAGAGCAGAGGCAGUGCAAGUCUGGAAUGUGCUGCUGUGGGAUGGAGAGAUAGCAGAGAGAAGGAGGGAGACUGUAGACAGGACUAAAUGAACAAAGAGCCAUCUUCUUUUUUUGAUCUACAUUUGUAUUAUUUAAAAAGCUGCUUGAUUUAUUCUUUGCAAUUCUACAGAAUUUAAGGAUACAUUAGCAAUAUUAUAAAGUAAACAAAUUAAAAACAUGUCACAUUUUAUUAGUCAAGACUUCAGAAUCUUUAUUGCCAAGUAUCAAGAGUUGCAUGUACAAGGUAUUUGUCAUGGUGUGCUGGUGCUUUAAAAAAAAAUUUAAAACUAUAUAAAAUAAAGUCAUAAAAUAAUAGAUAAAAAGACAUUAACUGUACUCCAUGCAUCAUUACUUUAGUUUUGGACCAGAUUGGUGGCACUUUAUUUAUUUAUUUAUUUAUUUAUUUAUUUAUUUAUAAAUCUGUAUGAA